AGCGGCGGACGGGUGAGUAACGCGUAGGAAUCUACCCAGUAGCGGGGGAUAGCCCGGGGAAACCCGGAUUAAUACCGCAUACGCCCCACGGGGGAAAGCAGGGGAUCUUCGGACCUUGCACUAUUGGAUGAGCCUGCGUUGGAUUAGCUAGUUGGUGGGGUAAAGGCCUACCAAGGCAACGAUCCAUAGCUGGUCUGAGAGGAUGAUCAGCCACACUGGGACUGAGACACGGCCCAGACUCCUACGGGAGGCAGCAGUAGGGAAUAUUGGACAAUGGGGGCAACCCUGAUCCAGCCAUGCCGCGUGUGUGAAGAAGGCUUUCGGGUUGUAAAGCACUUUCAGCGAGGAGGAAAUGGCAGCGGAUAAUACCCGCCGUCUAUGACGUUACUCGCAGAAGAAGGACCGGCUAACUCCGUGCCAGCAGCCGCGGUAAUACGGAGGGUCCGAGCGUUAAUCGGAAUUACUGGGCGUAAAGCGCGCGUAGGCGGUUAGAUCAGUUGGGUGUGAAAGCCCCGGGCUCAACCUGGGAACUGCAUUCAAUACUGUCUGACUGGAGUAUGGGAGAGGGCAGUGGAAUUCCAUGUGUAGCGGUGAAAUGCGUAGAUAUGUGGAGGAACACCAGUGGCGAAGGCGACUGCCUGGCCCAAUACUGACGCUGAGGUGCGAAAGCGUGGGGAGCGAACAGGAUUAGAUACCCUGGUAGUCCACGCCGUAAACGAUGUCAACUAGCCGUUGGAGGACUUGUUCCUUUAGUGGCGCAGCUAACGCGAUAAGUUGACCGCCUGGGGAGUACGGCCGCAAGGUUAAAACUCAAAUGAAUUGACGGGGGCCCGCACAAGCGGUGGAGCAUGUGGUUUAAUUC
rnacentral:rRNA from 1 species